UACCAAAUUUGCAUAAUGAUAUAAAAUCAUUUGUAAAGGUAAUCAAUUUAUUUUCCAUAUACUUUUCUUUUGACAUUUGGAUGACUAGUAAAACUUGGAAAAAACAUAUAAUUUGACCUUUUAAGGUUCAAAUUUUCUGUUUAGUUUGGAUUGAGAUUCUUGGAGUAGAUAUCUGAUUACUUUGACUGGAUCUUCUUGUCCCUUAGUCUGGUCUCAAUUAGUUCAAUUCUUGAAUUCGGCUUAUGGCUAUAAAGUUGCCUCAUGAGAAGUGUAGGUAUUGGUCAAGCUCAAACAGUGACUUCCCAUUUGAGGCAAGAGUCACAACAGCCGAUUUUGGUUGAAUUACAAUCUUUUGUUGGAGAGAACGAGAAUUGGCUAUGAGAAAGCUGAUGACGUGAUAAAGAAUCUGCAGUGCCUCCCUCCAAGUGGCUUCAGGUCAGCUCUGAAAGAAAUGGUUAUGUAUGAUCUCGAAAAAAUCUAUUCCCCCCCCCCCCUUAGUUUUCCAAAUUAAGUUAGAAUGAUUGGGAAACUUGCUUAUAGUAUAUAGAGCACACACAAAAGGGGUUUAGCUGCUGUAAUGCAGAUAAUUGUGUUGGCAGAAAUUGUAAAUAUCUUUGUGUUGUCUUUCAAGAAAAACAGAGGAUUUGUUUUUUUUUUUUUUUGUUAAAAGAUAAUGUUCCAGAAGUAAAACUAAAGAUGCUGACAUUGUAAGAUAGUAAUGAUGAUUCAUCCCCAAAAAAAAAA